AUGCCCUGUGCCUCGCUCGGCCUAAUUUUUCCAUAUUUAGGUCUUGAGCUGGAUGCUUCUUCUUUACAAGAUAAAGAAUUUAGUUUAAUGGGCUAUAAUGAUUUUGAAAUCUUCCUUUGAGUGCGAUUUCACCAAGGUUUGAAAUACCCAGGGUGCAAUUGUAAUUAUAAGAUUUCACAUUU
rnacentral:snoRNA from 1 species